rnacentral:rRNA from 1 species
AGAGUUUGAUCAUGGCUCAGGAUGAACGCUGGCGGCGUGCUUAACACAUGCAAGUCGAACGAACCUUCGGGUUAGUGGCGGACGGGUGAGUAACGCGUGAGAAUCUGCCCUCAGGAGGGGGAUAACGGUUGGAAACGACCGCUAAUACCCCAUAUGCCUACUGGUGAAACGAAUUUCGCCUGAGGAUGAGCUCGCGUCUGAUUAGCUAGUUGGUGAGGUAAUGGCUCACCAAGGCUUCGAUCAGUAGCUGGUCUGAGAGGAUGAUCAGCCACACUGGGACUGAGACACGGCCCAGACUCCUACGGGAGGCAGCAGUGGGGAAUUUUCCGCAAUGGGCGAAAGCCUGACGGAGCAACGCCGCGUGAGGGACGAAGGCCUCUGGGCUGUAAACCUCUUUUCUCAAGGAAGAAGAUAUGACGGUACUUGAGGAAUAAGCCACGGCUAAUUCCGUGCCAGCAGCCGCGGUAAUAUGGGAGUGGCAAGCGUUAUCCGGAAUUAUUGGGCGUAAAGCGUCCGCAGGCGGCUUUUCAAGUCUGCUGUUAAAGCGUGGAGCUUAACUCCAUCAUGGCAGUGGAAACUGAAAGGCUUGAGUAUGGUAGGGGCAGAGGGAAUUCCCGGUGUAGCGGUGAAAUGCGUAGAUAUCGGGAAGAACACCAGUGGCGAAGGCGCUCUGCUGGGCCAUUACUGACGCUCAUGGACGAAAGCCAGGGGAGCGAAAGGGAUUAGAUACCCCUGUAGUCCUGGCCGUAAACGAUGAACACUAGGUGUCGGGGGAAUCGACCCCUUCGGUGUCGUAGCUAACGCGUUAAGUGUUCCGCCUGGGGAGUACGCACGCAAGUGUGAAACUCAAAGGAAUUGACGGGGGCCCGCACAAGCGGUGGAGUAUGUGGUUUAAUUCGAUGCAACGCGAAGAACCUUACCAGGGUUUGACAUCCUGCGAACCUCUUAGAAAUUUGAGGGUGCCUUCGGGAAUGCAGUGACGGGUGGUGCAUGGCUGUCGUCAGCUCGUGUCGUGAGAUGUUGGGUUAAGUCCCGCAACGAGCGCAACCCACGUUUUUAGUUGCCAGCAUUUAGUUGGGCACUCUAGAAAGACCGCCGGUGAUAAACCGGAGGAAGGUGUGGAUGACGUCAAGUCAUCAUGCCCCUUACACCCUGGGCUACACACGUACUACAAUGCUACGGACAAAGGGCAGCAAACUCGCGAGAGCUAGCAAAUCCCAUAAACCGUGGCUCAGUUCAGAUCGUAGGCUGCAACUCGCCUACGUGAAGUAGGAAUCGCUAGUAAUCGCAGGUCAGCAUACUGCGGUGAAUACGUUCCCGGGCCUUGUAGACAC